GGGGGCGGGGAAUCUGCUGAGGAACGGCGCUUUAUAAAUCAAAAGAUAAUAAUAACAGAGCUUACGGUGAGCACCGGAGGCUGGAAACGGGGUGGCAUCCGCUCGGGGCGGGGCGGCGUCGCCAGCGAAUGACAACACUGCCCCCUGGUGGCCGAUGCGGCCAGGCCCGAGAGAGCGCAGGCCGGGUGCGAGCCAGGCUUCCUCACCACGCGGCUUCCCCACUCAUCCCAUAGAAACCGUAACUGAGCAAAUGACGGAUUACUACACUUAGCAGGAUGUCCCCCAGGCUCAUGCACGUUGUAGCGUGUCAGGGUUUCCCUCCCUGUUAAGAGGCCAUCCUGAUGAGUACGAGGUGGUAGAGCUGCCUGCUUUUUGAUUAAUGUGACGAUCACACCCUCUGCCUGGGAGUUUUACAGACUGGUGAUGACUUUUUGUGGCAUCUCAGGAAAGAACAUAACUUCGUGGACGUCCUUAGUCAGAAUCUACUCAGUGUAUCUACUCAGUAUAGGCUCACAUGAGCCCUCACCUUCCCAGGGAGUCACAACCUCUACUAUACUUCUUCUUUCUGCUCUGCCCCCCACAAACGGCCCUGCCAGCCCUCACCACCUAGAGGGAGAUUGGGAGCCGGUAGAGGAAAGACACCCUGAAUCCCCGAGGUCAAGCAAAGCCCUGGGGAGGCGCCGUGGGAUCCCUGCCUCGGGCCUGCCUAGACAGUAUGUGAAUGAGUAUCCCAGAGAUUCUCCCCGCUGUGACCUCGAGGGCCAGCCUGCCUGUGUGGCCGUGAGCUGCUUUCUUCCCAGAGGAACUUGCUUGCGGCAGCAGGACUCCACAGCCUCAGGGGCAGCUUGGGCCUCGGCAAAGUGGGGAGCUGCCUCGGUCCAGCAGGGGUCCAGAUCACCUCCUCAUUUAGAGGGACCAUGUCUCUAGAGAGAUGACAUGCCAAAAACGGAAACCUCACAGGAGCUUUUUGUCCACCUGCAAGCGAGGUGCAGACACGUUUGAGAUGGUGGAUGGACUUUUUUUUUUCUCUUUUCUCUCUUUCCAAAAUCUGGACACACCAUGGCCCAGUGAUGGAGAAGAAGUCGAGGACCUGUCAAGGAUCUUCUUUCUUAGGAGUGGCGGAGGGCUGACCAGUCUCAAUAAAGCACAGGGGGAGCCCCUGU
rnacentral:lncRNA from 1 species